rnacentral:lncRNA from 1 species
CUUCCUCCGCGAGAAAUCCACCACGGCUUCCCGGAAGGGUGCAAGGGCGAGGGCGCGGGGACAGCCGCCGAGAACUAGGCCCGGGCCCCGCCGAGCCCCUUGGCCCCGCGUCCCCACGCGCCCGGCCCGCCCAGCCUCGCGCGCCCCGGACGGCGGGCCCCGGAGCGCGUGCGCGCACGUAGGCACGCACACGCACACGCAUGCGCACUCCACACGCACACCGACGCACGCCGCCUUCCGCCCGGAACUCACGCCGGCGUUGCUGUGACGGCGAAGCCGCGUGGAAGUUCCCGCGUGUGGAUCGCCGGGGAAGUUUUAUCUGUCUCUCUCUCUCUCCCCUUCACCUCCUCUCUCUGUGUCUGCCAGUUUCAGUAGCAAUCAUCUUCCGACGGAAAGCCCUUGCCCUCGAGGCUGUGUUCAGGGUCCCUUGCGGUGGGGACUUCCGGGGUGGCGGGCAGAGACCCCCUUCCCCGCCCCAGGGGGGUCGUCUCUCCCCUCCGAGCCGGGAAGGGCCGGGAUCGCACCAGCAUGCCCGCCAGGGAAGAGGCGAUUCUGCAUCUCGCAGCGCUGAUGGCGUCGCCCGCGUCCCGGGCGUGACGGGACACAGCCCUCAGCCGUGCGCGCACGGAAAUCAAUCAAUACUAUGCAAAGCGGGCAGCCGCCCCGCCGCGCUCCUCCGGCGAGAGGGAGGCCCCAAUCAGCAGCACAAAGCCGGCCCCCGCCGGGCUCCCGCCCUCCGCAGAGGCGCGGCUGCGGGCCGCUGCGGGACACUCUUCACCUUCCAAGUAGCACACACGCGCGCCGCGCGGGCCCGGCUCCAGCUCCGCUUUGGCACGUUGCGCUCCGCUGGCAUGGCUGCUUGGUCCACCCCGAUGCUAGUAGGAGCUGUCCGGGGCUGGGGGGGAGUAGCUCGGGGUCUCCACACGAUGCCUAGAGAAUGCUGCAGUCUGCACAUUAGACGCUUUUUAGAAGUUUUGAAAUGA